GAGCAAUAUUUGGCCUCCUUGGCAAGAAGAGAUAGCAGCGACUGAACCUCGUUACAACACAUGGAGAUCAAAGGCCCUUAAUAUCGGACAUGAACACCCUUACGUAUCUCCGUAUCACCUGCCGCGAGUUGCAUCAAACAGGACCAGGGAGCAACCACAGACACCAUACUUGGCACAGUACUAAGACGCACUGACAAACACGAACAUUUUUAAGAAUAUUUU